UCUAUUAACAUUCACAGCCAACUCCAUAAUAACUUUAUAGCUUUGAAAGCUUCUGGUGAAUCUCAAAAGCAUCUACAGUUUUAAUGACUAAUGUAAAAAGAACAGCUGCAACAACAAAUUAUAUUUAAGAGGUAGCUUGGUUUGUGAUAGAGACAAUGUGUGUGGUCGAUGGAACACAAAUGAGGGAGAAAAUGUUUUUGGUGAGACUUUCUGUGCUUUAAUCAAUCAAUUUAUAAGUGAAUUUCAGUGGUGGGGAGAAUACUGAAAAUCUUUGGAGUAUUGAAAAAGUAUAAAAGUACUUUGAUAAGUAAGGCUAUAAACUACUCAAACUACAAGUUACUUUGUGUUUUAAUAUAUGUUGUGUGUGCAGGCCAGAGAUCUUAAUUGAUUAUGCAUUCAGUGUAGUGGUUCAAAGCUGUGUAGGAAGAAGCAAGCGGCUGCAUUUUUAAACCUUUGUCUAAACCUUGGUUUAGCUGCACCGUUUCUAAGCUGCGAGUCAGAUGCUAAGUGAGACAGCAACAGCCCCCAAAGCCCUCCAACUGAACACUACUUGUUGUUGCCAUCAAACACAGUCAAAAUGGACACUGUUUCCCAAAUGUCAGACCUUUUAAUGUUGAAAGAUGAAACCAAAUUAUCAUUUUGUUGCUGCUGUUUACAUUCAUCUGGACGCAAAUUCAAAAAAUGCACUCCAGAAUGUUCGGGGUAUAUACCUGCAUGUUUAUAAAUAACUGUAUAUAUUGUUUUAUUUUAUUUCACUUAUGUGAUAGUGACAAUAUAUCUAUUAAUUAUCGGUUAAGGUAGAUGUGUGUAGCACAACCUUGUGUUGUUAACUACCUUGUACGCGGAGCGUUUUGCCUGCCCGACACUAUUCUCUAUGCUGUUUCUGUGUUGAAAUGGCUUCCAGCAGAAAAAGACUUUGAACGCGUAUUCUCCUGGUGGAAUCACAAGCAUUGUCUAAAAUGGUUGGGGUCAGCUCCGGCGGCCAUGUUGGAACCGAAACGCAACACUGCUGUACCCUGUCAUAAGUCCAAUAUUCACUAGCUCAGUCUUUGGUCUCUACAAACUCCUGAGGUAAAUAUUUUUCUGAAAUGAAAUGUCUAUAAUGAAAUAACAUUUUAUUAUUAUGAGUAAAUUCUUUAUAGUUUAUUUCACAAAUUGUUGUUUGGUUCAUUUAUGUAUUUUAUUCAUGUAAUUAUUUAUUUGAUAAUUAUUAUAUUAUAGCAAAUAAUUAUUUGAUAUUUUGUUGUUCCAUAGACAAGAUAUUGUAUCUUCCUGUAAAUGUGCUGUCAAUUCAGGGAACAAACUGUAUCUAUUUAGUCCCAAAUCUGUUUGUUUAAUAUCCCUUCUAUGUGUGCAUAUGUGAAAAAUUCUGAAGUUCAUUCCUGUUGGCUACCGUGUAAAAUGUUGGGAGAGAGUUGAUGCUGAAAACCAACAGUGACAAUAUACUGGAUGACUAUUUCAACGCAGUUUAUAUUGUUCUCACUGGAAGUGGAUCCCUUAGCAACUCCAGCAGCUGUAUCUUUGAUCACUAUUCUUUCAUCUUUUGUGAACCUGGGACUGGCACGAAAUUGCUGCCUAGCAUGAUAUAUGACAUUCCAUCUCAGAAGCGUAUGAAAAAUAAAUUAGAUUUCCCUUCACCAUUUCCUGAUCAGCCCUCCCCUCCUCCCCCUUCUUUCAUCACACCUGCCUCGCUCUUCCUGCCCAUGCAUAUGGCAGCUCGGGUGUAAAACCCAAACAUUACGGGCGUGUUCACACCAAGGAUGUUACUGAAGGUUUGUUCAAACUCUAGUCUGUUUCCCAUGUGCUCUGAUACUUUCCAGCAAUGCCAUUAUAAACUAAGAUUGCCCCAAAUAAGACCACCUAAAAUGUGGGUCUUCAUUACUUAGUGUGAUGUCAUUUGUCAAGUGUCAGAACAUAUUUUAACUGUAAAUUCAGACCCAAAUGUUAAAGGUGUGAUUUUUCAAAAGUAUACAUUCAACAUUUUGAAAAAUAUGCUUAUUUACUGUCUUUUUAAAUAUAAAUAAUCAUUUGUGAUUGUAUGAGGAGUUACCUGUAGGAACUAUUUCUGCAUGAACAACAAGUUCCAUAUGCACUGUUUUUUAAACCUGUAUCAAUAAAUUUUUUUUGCAACUUUGACAUA